rnacentral:rRNA from 1 species
UACGUAGGGUGCGAGCGUUUGUCCGGAUUUAUUGGGCGUAAAGAGCUCGUAGGCGGUCUGUCGCGUCUGCUGUGAAAACUCAGGGCUUAACCCUGAGCUUGCAGUGGGUACGGGCAGACUAGAGUGCGGUAGGGGAGACUGGAAUUCCUGGUGUAGCGGUGGAAUGCGCAGAUAUCAGGAGGAACACCGGUGGCGAAGGCGGGUCUCUGGGCAGUAACUGACGCUGGAGGAGCGAAAGCGUGGGGAGCGAACAGG